GCGCCUGUAGCUCAACUGGAUAGAGCAUCAGUCUACGGAACUGAGGGUUAGAGGUUCGACUCCUCUCAGGCGCGCCA
rnacentral:tRNA from 1 species